CUGCAGGCACCCGCCACGUGCGACAAGCACCUUAGUUGUGAACGAGGCUGGAUUGUGACCUCGUGCCAGGGCGCCUCUGCCCUUCCUGGGGCUUCCGGCUCCACACCAGGAUCUCAGAAGGACAGAAGCCGGGCAGGGCUCCGGCCGCGUUUUCCUUUGGCCUGGACCACUUCUGGUGCUGCAGAUCCCCUGCCCCUUGCACCAACCUCUGGGGCACAAGCCCUGUUCCAAGUGGGCAUUUUACUCGACCAAGCCACGGGGCUCGUUCUUCAGGAGGCUCCGAGUACGGACUGGCGUCUGCAGGGAAAAACACCCGCUCGCCCAGCAGUGGAGCGCACGCCGCUCGGCCCACGGACGGGGUAAGAACAAUGGGUCUCCCGGUAACGGUGCCGACUCCGACAAGCACACGGAACCCGCUCGGUCAGACCCUGCCGUUCUCCAGCAUCGCCUCUAGAGAGUGCAGUUGUACAGGGAGAAAGAAGAACUGCAGCACAAACGCCAGCCGUACCUGAAAGACAGCCAUGAUGAUUGGGAUUUGUCACUAAGAUCCAGUCUUGUGAGCAUCCCUUCAAUCUACCAGAAGUGCAUUCAGCUGUCACUCUGCACCUGCUGAGCCAGGAGCUGCAUCUGUCCUGGGGACCCGUAACAGCUUCUUGAGCCAGAGGAACAAUGGGAAGGCUGGUGCUCCACAGUCACGACUGGUAUUUCAAGAUCACCAGUGGUGAUCUGCCAGUUGGGAAAGUAUUCUCACCUUCUCACCACUGUUGGAGAAGAGACACAUCCGUUCUGAUUUAAUUA